UACGUAGGGGGCAAGCGUUGUCCGGAUUUAUUGGGCGUAAAGAGCGUGUAGGCGGCCAGGUAGGUCCGUUGUGAAAACUCGAGGCUUAACCUCGAGAUGUCAUCGGAAACCAUCUGGCUAGAGUCCGGAAGAGGAGAGUGGAAUUCCUGGUGUAGCGGUGAAAUGCGCAGAUAUCAGGAAGAACACCAAUGGCGAAAGCAGCUCUCUGGGACGGUACUGACGCUGAGACGCGAAAGCGUGGGGAGCGAACAGG
rnacentral:rRNA from 1 species